UACAGAGGUCUCAAGCGUUGUUCGGAUUCAUUGGGCGUAAAGGGCGCGUAGGCGGUCGUGACAAGUCACUUGUGAAAUCUCCGGGCUUAACUCGGAACGGUCAAGUGAUACUGUCGGACUAGAGUACAGAAGGGGCAACUGGAAUUCUCGGUGUAGCGGUGAAAUGCGUAGAUAUCGAGAGGAACACCUGCGGCGAAGGCGGGUUGCUGGGCUGACACUGACGCUGAUGCGCGAAAGCUAGGGGAGCGAACGGG
rnacentral:rRNA from 1 species